rnacentral:rRNA from 1 species
CCUACGGGUGGCAGCAGUAGGGAAUUUUCGUCAAUGGGGGGAACCCUGACCGAGCAACGCCGCGUGAACGAAGAAGUUAUUCGUAAUGUAAAGUUCUUUUAACAGGGAAGAAAGAUAAAUUUGACGGUACCUGAAGAAUAAGCCUCGGCUAACUACGUGCCAGCAGCCGCUGUAAUCCGUGGGGAUCGAACGUUAUCUGGAAUUAUUGGGUGAAAAGCUUGCGUAGAAGGCAUAGAAAGUCUUCUGAAAAAAUGGUGGGCUCAACCCAGUAGGGCCACAGAAACUGCAGAGCUAGAGUGUGACAGAGGCAAGUGGAACUACAGGUGUAGCGGUAAAAUGCGUAAAUAUAUGUAAGAACACCAAUGGCGAAGGCAGCAUACUGGGUCGAGACUGACAUUGAGGCACGAAAGCGUGGGGAGCAAACAGGAUUAGAUACCCGUGUAGUC